rnacentral:rRNA from 1 species
GAUCCUGGCUCAGGACGGACGCUGGCGGCGUGCUUAACACAUGCAAGUCGAACGGAGCACCCUUGACGGAGUUUUCGGACAACUGAUAGGAAUGCUUAGUGGCGGACUGGUGAGUAACGCGUGAGGAACCUGCCUUUCAGAGGGGGACAACAGUUGGAAACGACUGCUAAUACCGCAUGACGCAUGACUGGGGCAUCCCGGACAUGCCAAAGAUUUUAUCGCUGAAAGAUGG